rnacentral:rRNA from 1 species
AUUGAACGCUGGCGGCAGGCCUAACACAUGCAAGUCGAACGAGUGGCGGACGGGUGAGUAAUGUCUGGGAAACUGCCUGAUGGAGGGGGAUAACUACUGGAAACGGUAGCUAAUACCGCAUACCAUCGGAUGUGCCCAGAUGGGAUUAGCUAGUUGGUGGGGUAAAGGCUCACCAAGGCGACGAUCCCUAGCUGGUCUGAGAGGAUGACCAGCCAAACCGGGACGGGGACACGGUCCGGACUCCUAAGGGAGGGCGCAGUGGGGAAUAUUGCGCAAUGGGCGCAAGCCUGAAGCAGCCAUGCCGCGUGGAUGAAGAAGGCCUUCGGGUUGUAAAGUUCUUUCAGCGAGGAGGCGUUACCCGCAGAAGAAGCACCGGCUAACUCCGGGCCAGCAGCCGCGGUAAUUC